rnacentral:rRNA from 1 species
AUGGCGGGGGUGAGCGCCGGCACAGGGGCGAUGGGCUCCCUCCUCGGCAAGCUCACCGCCCUGCUCGGCGACGAGUACAAGCUGCUCAAAAGGGUCCGCAAGGAGAUCGAGUUCCUCAAACGCGAGCUCGGCAGGAUGCAGGUCCUGCUGGAGAGGCUGACCGACAUGGAGGCCAGGCUCGAUGGUCUGGGCAAGAGCUGGGGGGACAGCGUGCGCGACCUCAGCUACGACAUGGAAGACUGCAUCGACCGCUUCAUGGACCGGUUUGGCAGCGGCGACGCCAAACCAAAGUUCAUGAAGAGGACUGCGCGUCGGCUCAAGACUCUGUGGGCGCGGCAUGACAUCGCGACCCAGAUCAAGGAGCUCAAGGCUCGCGUCAUGGAGGAAAGCGAGCGCCGUGACAGGUACAAGCUUGACGAGAGUUGCUACAGUCCAACGAAGACGGUGGAGAUUGACCCACGGAUUACCGCGCUUCACGAGGAGGUCAAGGACUUGGUGGCAAUGGACGAUCGAGUGAAGCAAGUUACUACUUUGUUGAUGGAUGGGAGUAUGGAGCUGAAAGUAGUGCCGAUUGUUGGGUCCGGAGGGUUGGGGAAGACGACCCUGGCAAUGGAGGUGUAUCGCAAAAUUGGAUUAGGAGGAGAUUUCCAGUGCCGAGGUUUCGUGUCGGUGUCACGUACUCUUGAUCUAGAGAAGCUCUUGAAGGAUAUCUUAUCUCAGAUUGAUAAAGAUGCUUAUGGCAACAGUAAGCGUUGGGAAAAAGAACAAUUAAUCCGUGAAACCAAACAGAUCUUGACCGGAAAGAGGUACUUCAUUGUUAUUGAUGACGUCUGGAAAGAACAAGACUGGAAAUUAGUCAAGGCAGCAUUUCCUGAGAAUAACAAUGGUAGCAGAAUAAUUGCUACUACACGCAUUACCGGUGUAGCUAAUCAGUGUUGUUCCAACUCCGGCGGUCGACCCUAUCAAAUGGUACCUCUAGAUGAUGAUGCUUCUCGAAAGUUGUUCUUCAAGAGAAUUUUCUCCUCGGAUGAUCCCUGUCCUUCUGAACUAGAAGAAGUUUCUACUGGGAUCUUAAGAAAAUGUGGCGGCCUGCCACUGGCUAUCAUUACAUUUGCAAGUUUGCUUGCCAAUAAGCCACAUAAGAAGGAUGAAUGGGAGAGACUGCAAGAUUCCAUUGGUACUGGUCCUUCACUUGAUAAUGAUGGGAACUUAAAAGGGAUGAAAGAUAUACUAUUACUUGGUUACUGGGAUCUUCCACACCAUUUGAAGACUUGUUUGUUGUACUUGUGUAUAUAUCCAGAGGACUACAAGAUCAACUGUGAAGAACUGAAAUGGAAAUGGAUGGCCGAAGGAUUCCUUGAUAGACGAUGGGGACGUUUGGAUGAGGUAGCAGAGAACUGUAUCAAUGAACUCGUUAACAGAAAUAUGAUCCAGCCAAUUGACAUUUAUGGUGAUGGUAUUGUGAAAUAUUGUCGAGUCCAUGAUAUGGUGCUUGACCUUCUCAUAUCUUUAUCAGAUGAAGAGAAUUUUGCCACUGUUUUAAAUGGACGUGUAUGCAAUUCUUGUCCCAGGAAGAUUCGUCGUCUGUCCGUACAAGCUAGUGGCCGAAAGCAUCAAGGUGCAGUUUGUGCAGUCACAGAAACCAAGUUGCAUGUUCGCUCGCUGACUACAUUUUGUCCUGUUGAGCAGAUUCCCCAUCUUGUGGACUUCCAUGCUUUGCGGGUGUUGGAUCUUUUUGGAUGUAAACGGUUGGAAAACAAGCAUGUAAAACAUAUAGGUAGUUCGCGUCAGCUGAGGUAUUUGAGAAUUGGCCGUUCUAGGAUUACUGAGCUUCCUGGUGAAAUCGGAAAGCUGCAGCACUUAGAGACUCUCGAUUUGAGACACUGUUAUUCACUUACAAGACUGCCAUCAACAGUGGCGCAGUUGCAGAAAUUGGUACGCCUAUUUGUAUCUAAUGAAACACAAUUACGUACAAGUGGGUUCCGGAGUCUACAAGCCUUGGAGGAGUUACGCGUCCACGAAACUGACGACCCAGUGAGAUUUGCGGAGGAAGUAAAUGAGUUGGGCAAAUGCAACCUUCGGUAUCUUUAUACUGAUGCAGAGAUAGCCGAACGUCUGUUCUGUAACCCAUGCCUCCAAGUUCUUAAAAUUUGGCCACAGAUUGGAAUGGUUCCCAAGGGAAUGGCCUCCCUCAAGAAUCUCGUGAAGCUAUCCAUAAUGGUCCAGAAAUUUGAUAAUGAGGGUCUCCAAGUCCUCAUGGGCAUGCCUUCUAUGGCCCAUCUUCAGCUAUGCGUUACAGGGGUCAUCGAAGAAAAGCUGACCAUGGGUAGUAAUGGAUUCAAACUGCUAAAGGUGCUGCAGUUCAAAUAUACGUCAGUCUUACAUCCUGCUUUUCUCCUGGAACCAACAAAUGGACUGCGGCUAAUAUUUGAACCGGAUGCUGUGCCAGCACUCCGACAGCUCCAUCUUGCCUUGAGCGCAAUGUGGGUGGCGUCCGACUUUUUUGCAUACUUGGGUGCCGAGCAUUUUUCAGGCCUUGCACACCUCGAGGUCGAAUUUGAUUGUUACAGAGCAGCUCCAGGCAGGGUGGAGGCUUUGGAGUCUUCCGUUAAAAAAGCAAUCAACUUGCACUCCGACUGUGAGAUUCAUGUCCAUAGAGUCAGUGAACAUGGCAUGUUUAAGGAUGAAAAGGAAUGGGAAGAGGCCGUCGCAGAAGACAGAAAGAGGGUGGAAAAGAUUGAGCUAUUGAGCUAUUAA